CCUACGGGUGGCAGCAGUAGGGAAUCUUUCUCAAUGGGGGAAACCCUGAAGCAGCAACGCCGCGUGGAGGAUGAAGGUUUUAGGAUUGUAAACUCCUUUUGUUAGAGAAGAUUAUGACGGUAUCUGACGAAUAAGCACCGGCUAACUCCGUGCCAGCAGCCGCGGUAAUACGGAGGGUGCAAGCGUUACUCGGAAUCACUGGGCGUAAAGAGUGCGUAGUCUGUGUAAUAAGUCAUAUGUGAAAGCCUGUAGCUUAACUACAGAACUGCAUUUGAAACUGUUACUCUGGAGUGUGGAAGAGGUAGGCGGAAUUCUUGGUGUAGGAGUAAAAUCCGUAGAGAUCAAGAGGAAUACUCAUUGCGAAGGCGACCUGCUGGAACAUUACUGACGCUGAUGCACGAAAGCGUGGGGAGCAAACAGGAUUAGAUACCCGGGUAGUC
rnacentral:rRNA from 1 species